ACUUGUAGUAGCAUCUCUUAAGAAAUCGAUACGAUCCAUGUCAUAAUCCAUAUUGGAUUCCCAAAUUUAUUAAAGAAAAAAGCAAUUGAAGAAUUAGAGAAAGAUCUACAAAAGGAAAUUAACUCUGUAAACCAGAGAUUUAAUAUUUCUGUCGAAAAAGUGAAAGAACCUUAUAGACAGCCUAACAUUCUUGCAGAAUAUAUAGCUUUCCAAUUAAAAAAUAGAGUUUCAUUUUGA
rnacentral:rRNA from 1 species